rnacentral:snRNA from 1 species
GGAUGUGAGGGCAAUCUGGCUGCAACAUGUCACCCCAUUGACCGCCAGGGUUGAUUCGGCUGCUCUGGCUGGCUAGAUGGGUGUCCCCUUCCUCCCUCACCCUUCCACGUGCGUUCCUCCUUAAGCUGUGAGCUUGGUCGAAGAGGACAGCCUUCUCCAAUAGAGAUGGACAGGUCUCAGUUGAGAGUCUGUGAGUAGCUGCGCUCCCCUGCUAGAACCUCCAAACUCUCAAGAGCUAUGAAAGACUCAUGGUCCAGGAGGUGGUGCAGUGGAUAAAGCACUGGACUCUCAGGUAUGAGGUCCUGAGUUCAAU